UCAGGCUCAGGCUCAGGCUCUGGUGCUGGCUCAGGUUCAGGAUCUGGUUCAGGCUCAGGUGCUGGGGCUGGUUCAGGUUCAGGAUCUGGCUCUGGUGCAGGAUCUGGUUCAGGUUCAAGCAAUUCAGGAGGUAGUUCACGUGGAAAUGCAUCUAGUGCAAGUUCUGCCAGUGGAGCAGGCAAAGGUAAGGGUAAAAAUGGUAAAACAAAGGGAUCAGAAGGCGGAUCAUCUGCAAGUGCAGCAGCUGUCGCAGCAGCAAGUUCGGCAUCGAAAGGAAAACCUAAUGGCAAAGGAAAGAGUGGAUCUGGCUCUCAUUCAACUAAAAAACCAAUGAUUAAAAUUGAUGCACCUAUGGUUAAAAUGAGUGCCGGA
rnacentral:lncRNA from 1 species